rnacentral:misc_RNA from 1 species
CCCCCUCUUCUAUUUCACGCGCUCGUUGACGACUCGACCACGCAUCUUCCCGAGUAGCGGUGGACGGUACUACCUUCCUACCUUGAUAGCAAGACAGCAAGAGGAAGAACAAACAGUUAAAGGGAGAAGGAUGGGUCUUCAUUGAUCGACCCCGUUUCCAAAGCUCAUUCAUCCGGUGUUUGCACACCAGACAUCUUCUCUUCCAUUGCCUCUCGCCCUGAACUCAAAAAGCUCGACUGCUUCAACACAGACACAAAGAAGCAAACCAACCAACCAGCUGAGAUGAAGGGGGGGGACGACACUCAUUUGGCCCGAUUGCAAAUCCUCUCAUUCUUUUUUUUCUUCGUUGUGUGCUUUCUGUUUCUUCCGGUCUAGUAUAUAUAUAUUUUUACUAUCCUUGAAAUCCCUUCUUGUAAAACUGGCCACGGCCACUGCCCAGGACUUGGGUCUUUCUUUUCGUAGAGGCCUUGAAGGAGAACCGACAGAUUCGUCACACACACACACAUACACACACAUACACACACGCACUUCGUGCAAUCGUACGUUUUCCGUGCUUCCUGCAAUACUCGCGUCCACAUCUAAUUUCCCUUUGCCCACAUCUCCCGUGGUAAAAGUAAUUGAGAGCAUUGUCAUGUAGAUGCGUGUGUGUAAAAGAGAAGGUGAUGAUAGCAAGGCAAGAGAAUAAAACAACGACAAUAAGAAACAUCACUGCUACUCUUCGCUCCGUUCGCCCUUCUCGUUCCUUUCGGCCUUUAUCCCCUCCCCUUGCUCUCCAUUGUUGUCUUGAGUGGAAAAGCACGCACGCACGCACUCACCCACCCACACGUACGCGCAGACUCCUUCAUGGACAAGGAGGAAGCAAGAAGGCUAGUUUGCCUUUUCCUGUUUUUAUUUUCUGCUUCUUGUGUUUCGUUUUAGUCGCUUACUUCUCCUUUUUGUGUUGCAUUUUUUUGUUCGCGUGAUUAUGUUUUUGUCUUUUCUCCAUCGUCCUCGUCUUGUUUGACCCUCAAAUUUUUCGUUCCUGCACUGUGUACGUCUUGCUCCACUUUAUUUCCGUUUCAAUAGCCGUUCUACGUCGAUUUCUGUUUUUUUUUUUCGGUGCGGGUGCUUUCGUUUUUGUAUAGAUUCUGUUUUUGAUUUUGUAUGCCCCUCGCUUUCGAGCAUUUUACCCAUAGAGUACGCAUGUCUGCUGUCCCCUCAAGGGGAAACGAAAAGAAAAAUAAGCUACAGAAGGGAAGCAGUUGUGAAAAGGCUGGGCUUUGUGACGGUGAUCUUCGUGAAAAGCUCGUGACGCUGCUUAUUUGCUGCCCAGAAAAACACCCUUCGAUGCUUAGCAAGCCUUCUCCUUUCUUUCGCAGGGAAGAAAGGAAAAAGGAAACCCAACACACCACCUCCCCUUUUCAUGUCUUCUCACACCUUUUUCUUGGAGAAAUUUUCGUCGUUUUUUUUUGUUUGCCUUUGAAAAGCUCAAGAUGUCUUUUGCCUGACAGCGGAAGAAGGGUGCCUUGCAAUCUUGCGGGGCAAAGUCUCCGAACGGAGAAAAAGAAUACGAAGACUUAGAAAAGUCGCAGUGGCCGUCUCCUUCAGUGCUUUUCUGUUCACUUCUCUUGUUUCGAAUCUCUUCCUCUCUUUUUUUCCCACCCCCACAUCUACUUGUUUUGCUGUGGAUGAUUAAGGGUAUAGUUCUGCUGUUUUCUUUGAGUGAGCAGGCAAGCUUCCACUGGUGUCGACGACGGAAAUCUUGCACGAGCCACUUCAUCACCUACACGGAAGGACUUUACUGGUUCUGUGUCUUGAAUCUUGAGUCGUGCAGCAGCCGUGGCAUGCCAUGGAUCAUCUCUACGGGUGCUUCCCCGGUAUCCAGGCACCGUCGUCGCAGCCGCAGCGGCCAGGCGCUUUUACUUUGCAGAGCAUUUGCGCCGCGCCUGCACGACGCGGAAUAUCAUCCUCCAGCAUCUGCACGCUUCUUCCACAGAGGAUCGUCACUGCAUAGGCGAAGUGCCUCGUUCACGGAUUCACCGAUGUCGCCUCGACACUCAUCCGCACGCUUUCUGCAACACGUCUGGUGCACCGAAGAGUUUCAGGAAUCGCCAUCCGGCUUUUUCUGCACUCCGGGCAAGAGAAGCGAGUGUGACAGAGCGGGUGCAGCGACCUUCUGCUUUCCGUUUGCGCGCGGAGAGGGCCGACAAAGUGGCGUUGGGACUGGAGAGGUCACGAUGGAUUCACCAACGCGCAUGGACACAGAUGGCCUUUCAAACGUCGAUUCGGCAAAGCUGACGCGCACCCGUAUGGUCCUUCGAAAGAGCAUCGCUCAAGCACAAGGGCGAUAUUGGGGGGGGAGCUUGGGGAAACGAGAGCUGCAGUCGGGGCUGUGGUUCACCAAUCACCUCAGCGCGCCUAUAGCCCACGCAUCGAAAUCGCUGCGUGCUGUAAAGUCGACCCCGCCCAUCGAGUCCCCUGACGGAGUGCGAUGUGCCCAUCCAGGGUGCUUUCCGCGCCCUAUCACGCGUUUCUCGAUUCGUGCGCGGAGGAUGCACCGUCACAAACUAGUCCUCUGAGCAGAGAGAGAGGAGAUUCUGGCACGCAGCUAAUGCAGGUGAGGUGGAAGAGGGUACCAGCUUGCACCACAGCAAUAUUUCGAACGUGUUUUCCCCCUCGCGGGCGUGUCGACUGCAACCAAAGCAGCAGCGGAAAACGGUGCUUGCCACUACCCACGCGCCACAGUCCAGCGCCCAUGUUACGGCAGCUGGCGAUCGUCGCUCCUUUGAUGUUCAUCACCACCUCGUGCAACCCCAACCCAGCAGCGCCUCCUCGUUCACGGCUCCUGUGAGGCAGGCCCGUCUCCCAUCUAGCAGGAACUCGCUCCAUGAGGCAAUAAUGUUCCCACUUCCCGCGUCGCAGCGAGGCGGCGCUACGCUCGGGAAAUGUAGCAGCACGGUUUUGUCCUAAGCGAAAAGCAAAGGCGCCGCCUGGGCUUUGCAUGCUCAGGACUUCAGCUGGGCACUGGGAGUUGGCGCCUUGGUUGGAAGGCAACCUGCACGAAAUCCAGCGUCUGAACUGCCAGUCGCCGCCGCAGUCCAUGCACUAGGCAUCCUUGCUCGUGGUCCCGCUGCAGCGCCGCACGCCCUUUUUGCUUCUGCAAACUUCAUCGCAGCCAUCUGCGCCGCAGACACAGCAGCUUCCUGACGUAGUCUCUCGGUCAACUCCGUGCGUCUCGCAUUCCUCGCUGCCGACAGCCGCCACUACUCCAGUGAAGGGUCUCGCACCGAGUACAUCGCCAAAGGCUGCGAUAAGGCCUGCAGUCGCUCUCCUCAGCAGCUGUCGGCUUAUGGUGCCUGUGCCACCUAGCCAGCUGCCGGCCCAUCUGGCGCACCUCCACGGAACCGGUCCGCGCCAAACCGGCGUUUCGAUUGCUCUCAUCCAGGCCAUACAGUGCCCUAGCAAAACGUGCAGACGUCAGCCGCCCCGGCGUUGGAGGUAUCUUCGUACAAGAGAUGGGGCCGAGUAGUGGUAGCGGUGCGACCGUGAGCGUCACAGGCAGCGGCCACAUUCCGCUUCAUUCAUCGCUCCCGCCUCCGCCACCUGCGUGCCCUGCCCCUCCGUCCAUGGCGGCUACAGUCGCCAACUUCACUGUUGCGCGCAGCACCCGGCUCUCUCCGCCACGACUCGCGUCUGGCAGCGACACCAGUCCUAACAUUUCUAAUCUCUCCGGGGCUGGCCGAAAAAGGAUCCUGCUGGCGACAAACACCGUCACAACGACAGCCACCACCGCCAUCGCGGCUGCUCCUGGCGACAGCACCGAACUCGCGCACUUCGCCCUAAGCAACCUGGGGUUGUCCGUGUCGAACACAGCCGCAAGCCAGGACAUCGGCUUGACAGAGCAGGCAGCCGCCUCCUGCGUUGCGCUGCAGCCGCCAGCCUCGCUCGAUCGCUCGUUUCGACCAAGCGGAAGAGUCACCAACGCGCCUUCGCUUUUGUCGCUCGUAGACAUCGGAAUCGUGGUGGACAUCUCAGCGCCGCAAAAGUCGAGUGCCGCGGUGCACAUCGUGACGGCAGAGUGACCCGAGACAGCCUUGCGAGGUUCGGCGGCGACAACCGUAGAGGGUCAGGAGCGAGGGCAAGGCCUGUAAGAGAGAUAUCUGUCAGCCGCAUGGAGUGUGCAUUGCAGCCGGAGACGAGUGACUGCGAGGACAUCUCAUUUUGUAUAAUCAGUCCUUGCUCGAUGUGGCAAACUGGAUGACAACAUGCCUUCUUUCCCCUAUCUGCGAAAGGGGCCCCAGCUGGUUUCACGGCAUGCGAGCAAGCUACUUCGAGCAAUGAACUGUGGGCCGAUGUCGAUGCCGUGGAAAAAACAAAAAGGCAGCUGUGAGCCGAACAGAGAGUCCCCUUGAUUGACUUUUUAGUUUUCUCUGGCUUUCUUUCACACCCUUCUCACUCCUUUCCACACGUGGAUGCGAUUCAGCGCUUUUCCUUUUCUUUCCGUCUGCUCUCGUGGCUAUUCCGAACACGCUGUGGCUCACUCUUCCGCUUCUUUUUCCCCUUUCUCCCCUUUUUCCUAGGAGUGAUGGAAUGCAUUACGUUGUGCUUUUUUUAUUUUGCGUGUUCAUCCCCCCUUCUCCUCUGUUUCCGAACCUCAUGUGGUGUCAACGUUUACUCUCGUCCCCCCCUUGCACGUUUGUUUUUCCUUUCGUCUGCUUUCUCGCUUCUCGUUUCAGUACAUAUAUAUAUAUAUAUUCACUUUUCUUUCUUUCUCUUGGGUGCGCGUGUCUUCUUGGAAUCAGCGUAGAGAACUCCCCCUUUUUCUUGCCUUUGUUCUCACUCUACCGACCUCCAAUUUCUCGCAACCCGAUCGAAUGAUUCCCUGCCCUUCCUUCCCCAGGCUGUGAACCAUUUCGCAUUCCUUUCUUUUCGCUUCUCUCCGCAUGAUCUCCUCUCGCCUCGGAAGCGAGAAAAAAGUACCAAAGAGGGGGAGUGCAAUCGGACCCUUGUCUCGCAUUCGUGGUGUCUUCGACAACCGGUGAAAACGAAGUACAGACAACACAGCGCAAAGAAGGCAGAAGCGACACGUGAAGUGGGGACGUUUCCUUUUCCCUCUUAUCCUUACGGCCUUUCUCAUCCCUCCCUCUCCCCCUCUUUGCUUUCCUCUCCUCUCCUUUUUUUUAUAUUCCCCAUCUCCCCCUCGCCCCCUUUCCUUUCCGUUCCCCUCGAUGUAACGGUCGCAGACAUAACCAGCAAGGGGUUUUCCCCCUCAAACUCUGUCAUGAUUUGUUUCACAUGUUUAUUCUUCUUCUCACUUCGCAAGAGCUGUGCCGGAUACGACUAGAUGCACUCUGAUCCCGUGUGUUGUAUGAGUAUUUGGCACUCCGUGUCUUGCCGCAGCGGAACAUGAGCGUGCAGGCUUCCACUCGGGCUCACGCUUACAGCUGCGCUAGUAUACUAGGUGUGUAUGUACAUGUGCAUGUGUGCGUGGGUGUGCAUGCGUGUUCACCGUCACAGAGUCGCCGUCUGAAGUUUGCUUCCACCCAUUAGCAACUAAACCGUAAUGAGCGAAUAGAUCACUUCUGAAAGCUCAAGAGAAAGAUCGAUGCAAAGAGGCAGAAGUCGACUGUAUUCGGGGAAGGGGGGGCGCUCCAUUUUUGUUUUGUUUUCAGAAGGCCGCAGGAGGAGGAGGAGGGGCACCGAUAGCAAGAGAAUGAUAUUUCUACCGUCGCCUCCUGCUCCUACAGGCACCCACGCACAUGCUGAGAAGAUAGUCGCCCGUUCUCUCCUAACACCCCUACCAUUUCAUUUCGCUCACUGUUUCUGAACAUGCGGAUAGCGGUGUCCUCACCACCAUCUCUUCCUACUACCCCCUUUCCCUGUGUCCGUUUUCGGACACCUCUGAAAUCACUUGCCGUCUUUUAUUUCUGCAUUUUUUGUUUUCCUGCCGAUUCUCUCUUGUCCACUGCUUCGGCAUUCGUCUCUCGUGAGACUUGGAAGGGUCUGGAACUGCACGAAAAAAAAACAAUGAUCGAAAAGCGGUACCAUAGAAGCACAAGAAGCGACAAGAGCAAUGACAGCCUCUGCUUCUUCUUGCUCCCCUUCUCCUCUUGCUGAUGUUGCUUCUCUCCACAGUAGUCAUAGACUUGUAUUACUACCUACCACCACCCCAUCCCGUGCGACAGCGACGCUGUGUUUCCCGCCUGUUACAAUCUCUAUCCUCCUCUUCACUCUCUUCUUUAG